rnacentral:tRNA from 1 species
CAGGGAAUAGUUUAAGUAGAACUUCAGCUUUGGGUGUUGAUAGUGGGGCUAUAG